UUUUUCGUACGCCUCAUCCGUGGUUGGGUGUGGGUCAGCAGGGUUACCCAUAGAUGAUUUGUGUUUUAGCUGAUGUCCCCCAUAUGGCUGUUAGUUAUGGUAGUUACUGUAUGAUAUUAUUGCAUGCGAUUGUAUUUAUGUUUCGUAUGUUUAGAUAAUUAUUACGCUAUUUACGCUAUUUCAGCCAGAGUUACUAAUGCUUUAUUGUUUUGUUUUUGUCUUUGUUUUUGUAUUACUGUUGUUUUUCCUUUUGUCCUAUGAGCCGAGGGUCGAUU
rnacentral:lncRNA from 1 species